GGUAUAGGGGACUUUGGGGAUAGCAUUUGAAAUGUAAAUGAAUAAAAUAUCUAAGAAGAAAGAAAAAACCAACAACAACAAAAAAGUGCUUUGCCCAAGACCAGCCUGAUUUCUUAUGCUAGCAAUACCAUCUUCAUAUAUAAUAUACAGACACACAUACAUACACACUCAAACAUACAUACAUGUAUAUACAAUAUCUCCCUCUCCCUCUCUCUCUCCCUCUCCCUCUCUCUCUCCUCUUCCUCUCCCCCUCCCCCUCUCUCUGUCUCUCUCUGUCUCUCUCUCCCUCUCCACACACACUGACACACACACACACACACACACACACACACACACACUUCUAAUGCAAUCUCCUACAUGAUAAAAUAUUCUUGAAAGCCCUAAAUACUAUGAUCUUCUAAGAACAUAAUAAAAAGUGUGGUAACUGAGGUGUAGGUGCUUGCAUGAUGUGAAGAAAUGAGGAGCAGGAGUUGUACAUUGGACUACUAUAGACAAUCCAUAAUGUCAUAAACCAAACUAAAAAGAAUAUAGGCCCUGCCUUUAAGAAACUCAUGAAGUUUGACAGGAGGAUUGGGAUAAAACAAGAUGAUUUGGUAGAAAAGCCUGACCAUCCUUCACAGGGGUGAACUCUGCGGACAGAUAUCUGAGCUAUUGUCAAAAUGCUGAGCAAAGUCACCCAGUGAAGACCCAGAACAGGAAGUGGUUACACCACAGUAGAGAUUAUCUAGCAGGAAACACCAAUUCAUUCUUUUGAACAGGAAAAUUCAACAUCAAAAAAUAAACUGUGCUCUUAGAUGAGUGAAAAAAAAUCACUCAAUUUUGGAGCAUUGCUGGCAGAAUAGCUUGGACUAUAGGAAGCUGAUGAAGGAGAAACUGUUGCAUUGGGAGAGGUCAAAACAGCCUGCUGUGAGCUUUGAAUCCUAAGCUACCUUGAUAUUUCAUGGAACCAAACAGAUACUACUAUAGAGUUCUAAGCAAAAAUUUGACAACUAAACUGCUUAUUAUUUACAAUUUUUAUAUAAGAUUUAUUUACUUCUUAGUGCUUGUGUGUUUUUGUGUGGUGUUUGUUCAUGUGUACCCAAAUACUUGCAUAUGUGUGGGUACCCACCUGUGCAUGACUACUUAUGGGUACAACCAGAGCUUGGCCUUGGCUAUCUUUAUAGGUUGCAUUCCACUUAUUCAUUGAAACAGGGUAUCUGGCUGUACUCAGAUAUCACUCCCAAGUUAGCAUUUGUGUAUUCUUAGGCUUUCUCCCAAGAACUGAGAUUACAAG
rnacentral:lncRNA from 1 species